rnacentral:misc_RNA from 1 species
UUUCCGUAGGUGAACCUGCGGAAGGAUCAUUAAAAAAUUGGACUCCAUUGGUGAGUUCAUUAAUAAUCCCUACCCUUUGUGAAUUUGUUUGUUUGAAUAAUUUUUUUUCCAAAAAAAAAUUAUUGAAUGUCUUUCCCUGUUUUGGUGGAGCUUGUAAAGUGAAACCAGGCAGGGGAAUGGCAAACAAUAAUUAUUUUUGAAAAAAGACCUUUUUUUAAAAUUAAACUCUUUGUAUUCAUUUGUCUAAAAUUAUUUUUAUAAUAUAAAAACAACUUUUGACAAUGGAUCUCUUGGUUCUCGCAACGAUGAAGAACGCAGCAAAAUGCGAUAAGUAGUGUGAAUUGCAGAAUACGUGAAUCAUCGAAUCUUCGAACGCAUAUUGCACUUUUUUAGUUUACUAAAAAAGUAUGUCUGUUUGAGUAUCAGUAAAAUAUUCUCAUAAAAAACAUUGUUUUUUUAUGGUUAUGAGUGUUUUACAACGAUAACAAGUUGUUUCACUUUAAAUUCUUUGUUAUCAAAAAAAUCAUUAAAAGCUAAUUUUAAAGAUUUUUUAAAAUUGGAUAAAAUUUUCCCGUAAAAAGGAAUAACCUAAACAAUUUUAAAAAAUUAAAAUUGGUUUGAUUUUUUUUGAAACCCAAAGGAAAAAAAACGAAAUUAACUUGAUCUCAAAUCAGAUAAGAGUACCCGCUGAACUUAAGCAUAUCAAUAAGCGAGGAAAAGAAACUAACUAGGAUUCCCUCAGUAACGGCGAGUGAAGCGGGAAGAGCUCAAAUUUGAAAUCUUCAAGGUUUUACCUUGACGAAUUGUAGUUUAAAGAAGUGUUUUCUGUUGGAGUUUUGGUAAAAGUUCUUUGGAAAAGGACAUCAUAGAGGGUGAGAAUCCCGUAUUUGACCAUUAUCUCCAGCUUUGUGAUACACUUUCAAAGAGUCGGAUUGUUUGGGAAUGCAGUCCAAAAUGGGUGGUAAAUUUCAUCUAAAGCUAAAUACUGGCGAGAGACCGAUAGCGAACAAGUACCGUGAGGGAGAGAUGAAAAAGAACUUUGAAAAGAGAGUUAAACAGUACGUGAAAUUGUCAAAAGGGAAGCGUUUGACACCAGUGUUGUUUUCUCGAAAAUCAAUUAAAAAAGGCCGGAUUUUGUGUUGUAUUGACUUUAUCAGCUUUCUGCACUUUUUUCUUGUCUUUUUUAAUGCACUUUUCGUUUAACAAGUCGACAUCAAUUUCUUUUGUUGUAAAAGGUCAUUGGAAGGUGGCUUUCUUUUCGGAGAAAGUGUUUAUAGCCUUUGGCCUCUGCAAUCGGAGAGAUUGAGGUCUGCAGCGUAGAUCCUUCGGGGUUAGAUACAUUUGUGCUAAGUUAUAGCCUUUCAUAGACAACUUGUUGACUAUGAUCAGUCAUGUAGCUUACUCGCUUAUGCUAUUUUACCUACGCUUAGGAUGUUG